rnacentral:lncRNA from 1 species
ACAGUAAUAAUUCGAGGUACUUUACAAAUGCUUAUUUACGAAAGAUAAAUUUUUAAAUAAAAUAGAUAACUGCGGUUAUCGACUGAAAUAUCGAUAUUAGAGAAAACCCGUUUAUUAUUUGAGAGAGAGAGAGUAGGAUAAAACUCGUUAGAACCGUUCUUUGAAAAUAACAAAUGGCUGACUUCUUAAGUUGUCAUCAAACUCGUUGAAGAAAAAUAGAAUUAAAUAAAUGAACGUUAUUCAAGAAAACUAAUAAAUCUUUACCCACAAGUUAUGUUAAAUAAUAAAAUAAAAUUAUCAUCCGACUCACUGUGUAAAAGAAAGGAUUGGAUUAUGGAUUGUCUCUUGUGUUCGGGGCACUAACUAAUUUUCUGGAUUGUCUACAGGAUUCUUCUUACGGGAAAUUGAACUGUUUGUUCUUCGGAAAUAGGGUCUUGGAUGAUCUUGAAGAAGUAUCAGUAGUUUUCGGAAUAGGUUGUAGGAUGAUUCUCUUUUUAUUUUAAUAUUACAUACAUUGGAGUACACGCCAAAUUUCAACAAUGAGUAAAGUU